CGGCUACUGGUAGGGAAACAGUUGGUGAUGCUCGCAAGAAAGUUCGAGACUUUCAAAUGAUAAAUGAAGAACCGGAAGGAGUAGGACACACCUUUGGUCUUCGCUCCGCCGCUCAGUUCGACGAAAUGCCGCAUUCGCUCCCUCCUCAGGCAGGCUGUCUCCGCGUACACAUCCCACCCCUCCCCCCACCCUUCCCUUCAUAUGGAUACGGCGGAGCCGUGGAGGUCCUCCGGUGAGACACUACGAUGGCGCUCAAAGAAGCUCUGCUGCGCGUGCGAUAUGGCCUCGGGUCCUCUGCGCCGUAUUCCAGGAGAAAGUAUGAGGAUAGAGGCCUAGGUCAAGGCGAAAGCGCCCACCUACGAGGCUGCACUCUUGCCCAGUGAUCAGGGUACUACCGGUAUUAGGCGAACGUUUGGUUGGGCGCUGCUCGCAAGGUGCUCGACCAAAUGCCCAGCCUAUCCAUUGUCUGGUCCGAAGAUAGAAAACAAGAAUGCAUGCUGGCCCUACUAUUGCUGCUGAUAAGCAGCCAGAAGCCCAGAAAAGACAUCCCCGUUGAUCAUAGACAAAAGAAGUAUUGAACUUCCAGUACUUUUUCAGCGUUGUAUCCUAAUUUGAUUCCUGCAGAUCCAAGAUCUGGUGUUUAGCCUUGCUCUAAGUAAAGCCAUAGCCUCCAAACAGAUGGUGCAUAUGAAUCAAGGACAAGGGGAAACAAGCUAUGCACGCAACUCCAGUAUCCAGAAUUCUCAGCAGAACAGGAUGAAGCCGCUGAUAGAAGCGGCCAUCGUUGACUUGUGUGGCAGCAGAAGCACCUUGUUCCCCGAAAAGAUGCUGAUUGCGGACUUGGGCUGCUCUUCUGGCCCAAAUGUGCUAGCACUGGUAUCGACUGCCAUCAAGGCCAUCAUCAACCACUGUCUUCAGUUCCAGCAAUCACGACCAGAAGUGUGUGUGCUCCUCAAUGACCUUCCUGACAAUGACUUCAACACGGUGGUGAAGAGCCUGGUCACGCUCCGUCAAAGUAACAACAAGCCUGUUGUUGUGACUGGUAUCGCGCCGGGGUCGUUUUACGAGAGGCUAUUCACUAGUGACUCCUUGCAUCUUGUCUGCUCAUCCAACAGCUUGCACUGGCUCUCCAUGGCUCCCGAAGAUCUGACAAUGAACCAGAUCCCUGCGUACGACAUGGAUGAGCAUGCUAGGUGUGAAAGACUCCCUAUAGUCCGUGAGGCUUAUGCACAGCAGUUCAGGAAAGAUUUCAUGCUUUUCCUGGAGCUGAGAGCCAAAGAAUUGGUCCCAGGAGGCCGAAUGGUUGUUUCCCUUGUAGGACGGCCUUCUAAUGUAAAAGCCUCCAAAUUCUUUCACCUUUGGGAAACUUUAGUUCAGAUUCUAAGUGUCAUGGCCUUAGAGGGUGUGAUCGACAAAGCGAAGUUUGAUUCUUUCUAUGUGCCGGUGUAUGGACCCUCUGGUGAAGAGCUGAGGGAGGUCAUCCAAGACGAGGGCUCCUUUUCUAUCAGGGAUAUGCGGGUAUAUGACGCUACAACUGAUAUGGACAGCAUGCUCUUCACCCCAAGCUCGUUCGUGAAUCAUCUGAGAGCCAUAUUUGAGCCAAUAAUAGUCGAGCAUUUUGGAGAGGUCAUGGAUGAAUUUGUGAGGACCGCGGAGCGGCGCUGGAGCCUCGAGGGCAGCAUGCAAGACGAGCGUGCCAGAAAUCCACGAGCUAUGCUGGUUGUAUCCCUUGCAAAGGCAUGAUUAUCAGGUCACACUGAUAGGUUCUCUUGUGCAAGAAGUUCUAUUGCUUGGCAACAUUGCCUUGUGGGGAUCCGAGUUGUAUGGACAUGUCGUUGACACUGCUUCGGGAGAAAAAUAGAUGGAUGGUAGUGUCCAGGCGUCGAGCCGAACACACCUGUCUCUUUAAGGCUCUGUACCCUGUUACUACCUCUUAAGAGGUUGAGCAGGUCUGUUGGUUCAUGGGAGGGUUCCAGGAGGAUGUUCAAGCAGGCAUAAUCAAAUGUAACAAGUGCUUUGCAAGCCGGAGGAGGUCUGGAGGCAACGUACAGGGGUCCCUUUAAUCUGUGAUGUACCAGCGCCUCCCUCUUUGAGUUCUUCAAAUCUGGGUGCAUCCAUGGGCAUUCCUUUGCUAGCUUUGUUUCUUUGUCCUGGCAAUGGAGCCUGCAAGCUAUGCUCGCCACAUCACUCGGAAGGCAUGACCAGAUUGAGAAGCACGUUGACAUUUUUACCGCCCCCAAUAAGCAGCCAGAACAGUCAUCGCCAGUUGAGCAUCAAAAAGAAGAAUUGAACAUCCAGUGCAAGCGAAGCCAUGGCAUCAAAACAAGUCUGCUGGUAUAAAACAAACUCUAGUAGUGGUUGAAGGUCUCUGGAUGUUAGCCCUGCUGCAAUCGAAGCCAUGAAUCAAGGCCAAGGGCAAACUAGCUAUGCUCCCAACUCCAGUAUUCAGGUAAACUAGCUAUGCUUCCAACUCCAGUAUUCAGGUAAACUAGCUAUGCUUCCAACUCCAUUAUUCAGGCAUCUCCUGAAAUUUGGCUUCAGGAGACUGCCUUGUCAAAAAUUUGAUCAUAGUAUAUAUCUUAUAUUACUGAAUUUUGAAAUAAGACCAUAAAGAAAAAUAAGAUUUUUUUCCCUAGGACAUCACAAGAGAUCUGCGUGUCAGUAUAUUAAGGUAGAGAAAAAAGUUCAUUUACAAGAGCUUGGCAGGUAUAGGCGCCACAAAUUGUCGCUUCCCUGGCCCUACUCCACCUAGAACCCAGCCAUCAUGAUAUUACCCUAUCUAUUCUACCUCUCCCCACCAGACGCCAUUACUCUAUCUAUUCUACCUUAUUAAAGAAAAAUAAGAUCGCUAUUAUGACAGAUUGAACUCGAUUUUCUCAAGAAGUUUGUGAUCGCGGACUUGGGCUGCUCCUCUGAUCUAAAAUGCAUUAGCACUGCUCUGGAUCUCUGUCGAGGAUUCGAGGCCACCUGCAGCCACUUUCUUUGGUUCCAGCAGACACCUCCAGAAGUCUGUGUACUCCUAGACAAUUACUUCAACACAGUUGUGAAGAGCCUGGUUAUGUUCCGACAAAUCAACAAGCUUGUUGUUGUACCAAUAUCAUUCUAUAAGAGGCUCUUCCCUAGUGGCUCCUUGCAUCUUUUCUGCUCAUCUAGCAGCCUUCAUUGGUUCCCAAAGAUGUGAGUUUGACACUCCACUCCAACAACCUUCAUUCCUUCACUAUCUGAUUCCUUGUCUCUUCUGAGUACCUACGUUGGCACGACUUCGUGCAGGUCCGGGGUGACUGUAGGCACUCGUUGGUCGACAGGGUCUGUCCACACCCGUAUGGAAGUGCAGAGAACCAUGGAGUUUUUCUCUUUACCCGGAGCACCAGGGAAGAGGAGAAGAAUCUGCAUCGGCGCCUUCAGGAAGGGUGUAUUUCCCGCCAUCGCGCUAGGCUUUCGCCUUGGCACGAACUCCUCGCGUCCAGAUUUGAGAGAUCCAGCGCACCAGCCACUAUGACGUGCACCACUCCCUAGCCGCCAAUUCAGGAGUUCUAUACCUGGGGCCGCAAUUUCACCCUCUGUCAUUGCUUGCACAAAUAGAAGCAAACCAAUUGCACCAUACUCUUUAUAAGCACAACACACUAAUGUUUGGUUUAACACAAGGAAAUAUCCAGAAAGACAGAAAAAAUACACCAUUAUAAUACAAACACAUCUUGUUUUUGGCAGAAACUAAAAACUUUACAGAUCCAUCAACGAUGCC